rnacentral:rRNA from 1 species
AUACGGAGGAUCCGAGCGUUAUCCGGAUUUAUUGGGUUUAAAGGGAGCGUAGGCGGACGCUUAAGUCAGUUGUGAAAGUUUGCGGCUCAACCGUAAAAUUGCAGUUGAUACUGGGUGUCUUGAGUACAGUAGAGGCAGGCGGAAUUCGCGGUGCAGCGGUGAAAUGCUUAGAUAUCACGAAGAACUCCGAUUGCGAAGGCAGCCUGCUGGACUGUAACUGACGCUGAUGCUCGAAAGUGUGGGUAUCAAACAGGAUUAGAUGCCCUGGUAGUCCACACAGUAAACGAUGAAUACUCGCUGUUUGCGAUAUACAGUAAGCGGCCAAGCGAAAGCGUUAAGUAUUCCACCUGGGGAGUACGCCGGCAACGGUGAAACUCAAAUGAAUUGACGGGG